rnacentral:rRNA from 1 species
AGAACGGUCUGGAAAGUCCGGCAGUAAAGGGUGAUAGCCCCGUAUCUGAAGAUGCUGUUAUUGUGAACUCGACGAGUAGGGCGGGACACGUGUUAUCCUGUCUGAAUAUGGGGGGACCAUCCUCCAAGGCUAAAUACUCCUGAUUGACCGAUAGUGAACCAGUACCGUGAGGGAAAGGCGAAAAGAACCCCGGCGAGGGGAGUGAAAAAGAACCUGAAACCGUGUACGUACAAGCAGUAGGAGCCUCUUUAUGGGGUGACUGCGUACCUUUUGUAUAAUGGGU